UGGGGAAUAUUGCGCAAUGGGCGAAAGCCUGACGCAGCAACGCCGCGUGCGGGAUGAAGGCCUUCGGGUUGUAAACCGCUUUCAGCAGGGACGAAACUGACGGUACCUGCAGAAGAAGCCCCGGCUAACUACGUGCCAGCAGCCGCGGUAAUACGUAGGGGGCUAGCGUUAUCCGGAUUCAUUGGGCGUAAAGCGCGCGUAGGCGGGCUGUUAAGUCAGGUGUGAAAACCGGGGGCUCAACCCGCGGCCUGCACCUGAAACUGGCAGCCUCGAGUCUGGUAGAGGAAAGUGGAAUUCCCAGUGUAGCGGUGAAAUGCGCAGAUAUUGGGAGGAACACCAGUGGCGAAGGCGGCUUUCUGGGCCACGACUGACGCUGAGGCGCGAAAGCUAGGGGAGCAAACA
rnacentral:rRNA from 1 species